rnacentral:rRNA from 1 species
ACCCAGUGUGUUUCGACACACUAUCAUUAACUGAAUCCAUAGGUUAAUGAGGCGAACCGGGGGAACUGAAACAUCUAAGUACCCCGAGGAAAAGAAAUCAACCGAGAUUCCCCCAGUAGCGGCGAGCGAACGGGGAGGAGCCCAGAGCCUGAAUCAGUGUGUGUGUUAGUGGAAGCGUCUGGAAAGGCGCGCGAUACAGGGUGACAGCCCCGUACACAAAAAUGCACAUAUUGUGAGCUCGAUGAGUAGGGCGGGACACGUGGUAUCCUGUCUGAAUAUGGGGGGACCAUCCUCCAAGGCUAAAUACUCCUGACUGACCGAUAGUGAACCAGUACCGUGAGGGAAAGGCGAAAAGAACCCCGGCGAGGGGAGUGAAAAAGAACCUGAAACCGUGUACGUACAAGCAGUGGGAGCCUCUUAAUGGGGUGACUGCGUACCUUUUGUAUAAUGGGUCAGCGACUUAUAUUCUGUAGCAAGGUUAACCGAAUAGGGGAGCCGAAGGGAAACCGAGUCUUAACUGGGCGUUAAGUUGCAGGGUAUAGACCCGAAACCCGGUGAUCUAGCCAUGGGCAGGUUGAAGGUUGGGUAACACUAACUGGAGGACCGAACCGACUAAUGUUGAAAAAUUAGCGGAUGACUUGUGGCUGGGGGUGAAAGGCCAAUCAAACCGGGAGAUAGCUGGUUCUCCCCGAAAGCUAUUUAGGUAGCGCCUCGUGAAUUCAUCUCCGGGGGUAGAGCACUGUUUCGGCAAGGGGGUCAUCCCGACUUACCAACCCGAUGCAAACUGCGAAUACCGGAGAAUGUUAUCACGGGAGACACACGGCGGGUGCUAACGUCCGUCGUGAAGAGGGAAACAACCCAGACCGCCAGCUAAGGUCCCAAAGUCAUGGUUAAGUGGGAAACGAUGUGGGAAGGCCCAGACAGCCAGGAUGUUGGCUUAGAAGCAGCCAUCAUUUAAAGAAAGCGUAAUAGCUCACUGGUCGAGUCGGCCUGCGCGGAAGAUGUAACGGGGCUAAACCAUGCACCGAAGCUGCGGCAGCGACACUAUGUGUUGUUGGGUAGGGGAGCGUUCUGUAAGCCUGUGAAGGUGUACUGUGAGGUAUGCUGGAGGUAUCAGAAGUGCGAAUGCUGACAUAAGUAACGAUAAAGCGGGUGAAAAGCCCGCUCGCCGGAAGACCAAGGGUUCCUGUCCAACGUUAAUCGGGGCAGGGUGAGUCGACCCCUAAGGCGAGGCCGAAAGGCGUAGUCGAUGGGAAACAGGUUAAUAUUCCUGUACUUGGUGUUACUGCGAAGGGGGGACGGAGAAGGCUAUGUUGGCCGGGCGACGGUU